ACAAUUUUUUUCAAAUGUAAUGGGGAUCUAAGAUUUCAAAUCAGAAGAAAUUGAGAAAGAUGGAGAGAAAGGGAGAGAUAAACAAAGAUAUAGAGAGAUUUUGAAGGAUUAAGUUGUUUCUUCAUCAGAUUAUUUUGAUCUCAGGGUGCAUGAAUUAUUUGGUAGCAGUUAAUGAAGAUGGUUGGACAUGAAUACGUCGAAGAGAUGAUUACCUCUUGAUUAUUCCAUUCAUAAAUGGUGGAUGUCACUAGGGUUGAAGAUUAUCAUGUUGAUGUCUAAGAGACGGGUAAAAGAUCUUAUAGGUAGAAUCAUUAGUCACAUAUCUAGGACUCCAUUUGGAAGACGAAGAAAUAAACGCAUCAAAAUUGCUAGAGAGAAGUAAAGAAGGCCUAUAAUGUGCACUGAGUGCUUACUUGCACCUUCCUUGAUGAUUUACUACCAUUCUUGCUUACGACUUUGUACUUUUUUUUCUCAUGUAAACUGUUACAAUGAAUGUAUGUUACUAUCUCAUUUAUUUUAAGAACUUAGAUUGGUUUUUACUUCAGUACAUGUGUC